rnacentral:piRNA from 1 species
UGGCAGUGAGCUGGGUGUCAGGGAG